UGCAGCUCAUCCAACAGUUGCGAGUAAGUGAACAUCAAACAGGGGUUGUAGAGACUAUAUAUUAAUGAACUGGCAUCACCAUCAUAGCCUUUAUGAACCACUGCCACUAUCUUUGUUGAUGAUCCAUAACUGCCUGAUCACCACUAUGGAUAUAAAAGAACAUGUCUUUAUUCCUCCUUAAUAGCAAAGGCAAAUAUUUUCCAAAAAUAUCAGAAAGCACACCAAAUUUUAUCUGAGUUUUCUGUUUCAUUAUUUUAGGGCUUAUAAGUAAAGUUCAUUGCUGUUUCUCACUUAAUAUUGUAUAACCUGUUUCCUGUGCAUAAGUAAAGCUAUUAGAUUUGAG
rnacentral:misc_RNA from 1 species